rnacentral:rRNA from 1 species
GGUCCAGACACAAUAAGGAUUGACAGAUUGAGAGCUCUUUCUUGAUUUUGUGGGUGGUGGUGCAUGGCCGUUCUUAGUUGGUGGAGUGAUUUGUCUGCUUAAUUGCGAUAACGAACGAGACCUUAGCUUUUAUUUGCGCAGCUUAACAAUUUUGUUGGGUUUGCGCCAUAAAAGGACUAUCGAAUUCAAGUCGAUGGAAGUUUGAGGCAAUAACAGGUCUGUGAUGCCCUUAGACGUUCUGGGCCGCACGCGCGCUACACUGACGGAGCCAGCGAGUUUACCUUAGCCGAGAGGUUUGGGAAAUCUUGAGAAACUCCGUCGUGCUGGGGAUAGAGCAUGUAAUUUUUGCUCUUCAACGAGGAAUUCCUAGUAAGCGCAAGUCAUCAGCUUGCGUUGAUUACGUCCCUGCCCUUUGUACACACCGCCCGUCGCUACUACCGAUGAAUGGCUUAGUGAGGCCUCUGGAUUAAGCUUUAAGCUGGGGCAACCCGGGUUAAUGCUGAGAAACUGGUCAAACUU